UACAGAGACUGCAAGCGUUAUUCGGAUUCAUUGGGUUUAAAGGGUGCGUAGGCGGCUUUUUAAGUCAGUGGUGAAAUCCUGCCGCUUAACGGUAGAAUUGCCAUUGAUACUGAAGAGCUUGAGUACAAUUGAGGUAAGCGGAAUGUGUAGUGUAGCGGUGAAAUGCUUAGAUAUUACACAGAACACCAAUUGCGAAGGCAGCUUACUAAACUGUCACUGACGCUGAUGCACGAAAGCGUGGGGAGCGAACGGGAUUAGAUACCCCACGUAGU
rnacentral:rRNA from 1 species